rnacentral:pre_miRNA from 1 species
NNNNACAUUUCACAGACCAUCUUAUUUAAAUUCUUUUAUAAUUAAUAUUUUUAUUGUUAUUAGAUGAUAAAAACAUAAAUAAUACUUUAUACGUGAUUUUUUUUAUUUUUUUAAAUAAAAUUUUUAAAUAAGACGGACGGUCGAAUGUUGGACACAGAAACCCAC